AUUGAACGCUGGCGGCAUGCCUUACACAUGCAAGUCGAACGGUAACAGGUCUUCGGAUGCUGACGAGUGGCGAACGGGUGAGUAAUAUAUCGGAACGUGCCCGAUCGUGGGGGAUAACGAAGCGAAAGCUUUGCUAAUACCGCAUACGAUCUACGGAUGAAAGCGGGGGAUCUUCGGACCUCGCGCGGACGGAGCGGCCGAUGGCAGAUUAGGUAGUUGGUGGGAUAAAAGCUUACCAAGCCGACGAUCUGUAGCUGGUCUGAGAGGAUGAUCAGCCACACUGGGACUGAGACACGGCCCAGACUCCUACGGGAGGCAGCAGUGGGGAAUUUUGGACAAUGGGCGCAAGCCUGAUCCAGCCAUGCCGCGUGCAGGAUGAAGGCCUUCGGGUUGUAAACUGCUUUUGUACGGAACGAAAAGGUGCCUUCUAAUAAAGGGCGCUCAUGACGGUACCGUAAGAAUAAGCACCGGCUAACUACGUG
rnacentral:rRNA from 1 species